rnacentral:rRNA from 1 species
UCUGACAGUGAGGGAUGAAGGCCAGGGGCGCAAAACGGAUUAGAUACCCGUGUAGUCCUGGCAGUAAACGCUGCUCACUAAACAUCGGGCCCUCUUCGGGAGGAUUCGGUGCUGAAGCGAAGGCGAAAAGUGAGCUACCUGGGAAGUAUAGUCGCAAGAUCGAAACUUAAAGGAAUUGGCGGGGAGACAUACGACGAGUGACGCGUGCGGUUCAAUCAGAUUUUACACCGUGAACCUCACCAGGAGCGACAGCAGGAUGAAGGUCAGUCUAAAGGGCUUACCUGACACGCUGAGCGGAGAUACAAAGCCGACGUCAGCCUGUGCUGUGAAGUGACCUGUUAAAUCAGGUAACAGGCGAGACCCGUGUCGAUAAUUACUCCAGAAAUGUGUACAUUAUCGAGACUGCCUUGGUAACAAGGAGGAAGGUGCGGGCUACGUUAGGUGGCUUGUCCCUAAUCCCCUGGGCUACACGCGCGCGGCAAUGGUAUGUUCAAAUGGAUGCAACUCCGAAAGGAGAAGCUAAUCCCCUAACGCAUAUCUCAGUUCAGAUUGAGGGUUGCAACCCACCCUCAUGACGUUGGAAUUCGUAGUAAUCGGAUAUUAGCACUGUCCGGUGAAUAAGUCCCUGUCUCU